rnacentral:rRNA from 1 species
UACGUAGGGGGCAAGCGUUAUCCGGAUUUACUGGGCGUAAAGCGCGUGUAGGUGGUUGCGCAAGUUGGUUGUGAAAUCUCCCGGCUCAACCGGGAAACUGCAGCCAAUACUGCGUGGCUAGAGUGGCAGAGAGGAAAGUGGAAUUCCCGGUGUAGUAGUGAAAUGCGUAGAUAUCGGGAGGAACACCAGCGGCGAAGGCGACUUUCUGGCUGCCAACUGACACUGAGACGCGAAAGCUAGGGGAGCGAACAGG